GAUGAAGAACGUAGCGAAAUGCGAUACGUAAUGUGAAUUGCAGAAUUCAGUGAAUCAUCGAAUCUUUGAACGCAUAUUGCGCUCUCUGGUAUUCCGGAGAGCAUGCUUGUUUGAGUAUCAGUAAACACCUCAACUUCCAUAUCUUUUUGAAAUGGGAGUUGGACUUGAGUGAUCCCAACGCUUUUCCUCACCGAAAAGUGGCGGGUUACUUGAAAUGCAGGUGCAGCUGGACUUUUCUCUGAGCUAUAAGCAUAUCUAUUUAGUCUGCCUAAAAAACAGAUUAUUACCUUUGCUGCAGCUAACAUAAAGGAGAUUAGUUCUUGUGCUGACUGAUGCAGGAUUCACAAAGACGGCUUCGGCCGACUUUGUAAACUCGAUCUCAAAUCAAGUAAGACUACCCGCUGAACUUAAGCAUAUCAAUAAGCGGAGGA
rnacentral:misc_RNA from 1 species